AGCAGCCGCGGUAAUUCCAGCUCCAAUAGCGUAUAUUAAAGUUGUUGCAGUUAAAAAGCUCGUAGUUGAACUUCGGGGUUUACCCAUUGGUCAGGCUUAAUUGUCUGCACUGGUGAGAUGAAUCUCUACCUUCUGAGGAACUUUCAUGCCACUUAUUUGGUGUGAUGGGAAAUCAGGACUGUUACUUUGAAAAAAUUAGAGUGUUUAAAGCAGGCUAACGUCUGAAUACAUUAGCAUGGAAUAAUGAAAUAGGACGGACUGAUUCUAUUUCGUGGUUUCUAGGAUCACCGUAAUGAUUAAUAGGGAUAGUUGGGGCAUUAGUAUUCAAUUGUCAGAGGUGAAAUUCUUGGAUUUAUUGAAGACUAACUACUGCGAAAGCAUUUGCCAAGG
rnacentral:rRNA from 1 species